rnacentral:rRNA from 1 species
CAUAGGUUUGGUCCCAGCCUUCCUGUUAACUUUCAACAGACUUACACAUGCAAGCAUCCACGCCCCGGUGAGUAACGCCCUCCAAAUCAAUAAGACUAAGAGGAGCAGGUAUCAAGCACACAUCUUGUAGCUUACAACGCCUUGCUUAACCACACCCCCACGGGAGACAGCAGUGACAAAAAUUAAGCCAUAAACGAAAGUUUGACUAAGCCAUGUUGACUAGGGUUGGUAAAUCUCGUGCCAGCCACCGCGGUCAUACGAUUAACCCAAGCUAACAGGAAUACGGCGUAAAACGUGUUAAAGCACUACAUCAAAUAGAGUUAAAUUCUAAUUAAACUGUAAAAAGCCAUAAUUACAACAAAAAUAAAUGACGAAAGUAACCCUACUGCAGCUGAUACACUAUAGCUAAGACCCAAACUGGGAUUAGAUACCCCACUAUGCUUAGCCCUAAACACAAAUAAUUACAGAAACAAAAUUAUUCGCCAGAGUACUACCGGCAAUAGCCCGAAACUCAAAGGACUUGGCGGUGCUUUAUACCCUUCUAGAGGAGCCUGUUCUAUAAUCGAUAA